AUAUACACAUAUAUGUAUAUAUGUAUAUAUACAUGUAUAUAUAUGUAUAUACACACACACAUAUAUAUACAUGUAUAUAUGUUUACGUAUACAUAAUAUAUAUGUUUGUUUAUGUAUGUGUAUAUAUACACAUGUAUGUUAAUGUAAGAAAGGAGAAUGCCUCCUGUAAUGCUUUUCAUUAUGAGAAAGGUGCUAUGAUGGCUAUGAUGAGUCACCCUAAAGUUGUAAAGCAUCAUUUUAGAGGAAAUAAAGAUCUCUCUUCCUGUGCUUGCGCUUCAGGAUCUCUGGAUGGUGUCAAAGCCUUCUACCCACUUCUGGAAAAAGAACUAGUCAGCUAGUAAAAUCUGGGCCUAGUGAUAUUCCUUCUCUUCCCUCUGAUACUUGGAAAUAGUAUCAGAACUCACUAAACAGGAAGUCACCAGUGUGUUCAGACAUUGUAUUACCUGCCUGAUCCUGAAAGCAUUUGAGCUGAAGUACCUUGAUAUGGAAUCUGGACCAGUCAGUGCUUCUUAACCUUGGCUUCAUAUUGUAAUCAUCUGGGGAAAGAGCUCUCAAAGCAUCAGAUCCUUGGAUGUCGCCCUCAGCUGUUGUUUAAGACUGCAUGGAUUCAAUCUCCGGCUGCACUUCUCACUGGCUUUUUGACCUUAGGCAGCCACAUGACAGCCAUGAAGAAAGUGACACUUCGCUACAGAUAACAUGCCGGCAUAUGGGCGGAUGGAUCCCUGUGUGACUGGAAUGGAUUUAUCAAAUGAAGGAACCAGAGCACCAAAGUGUUAAGUGACUUUGCGUAGCUAGUAAGUGGCAGUACUAGAAUUCAAACAAUGUCAGUCAUAUUACCAGAUUUCAUGACUUUAUAAUUUUCUUGACUUAAACUCAUUUUUGCUUAAAUUUGAUUUAUGGCAAUGCUGAGGUUCUUUUCAAAUGCAUUUGUCUUUAUCAUGAAUGUUGCCCACUUUUCUAUCAGGGCAUUCCUAUUAUUAGAAAUGGGUCUGAACCUCUUCCAUUCUUUCCUAUUUGUCAUUUGUCAUUUUCGGUUUGCUCAGGGGUUUUAUUUGUCAUGCAAAAUAAUUUUAUUGUGAAGUUAAAUUCAUUAAUCUCUUUUAUACUUUCUGGUUAUUAUAUGUAGAAAUUUCUUAGACCUCUAAGAAAACCAUAUUUGUAAUUUUAUUCAAAUACUUUUAUAGUCUAAUUGUUUGAUUUUAUAUCUUUGAUCUACCAAGAUAUUAUUUUGGUGUAAGACAUGGGGUAAAAUUGCAAUUUUCCCAGUUUUCUAGAAUGCCACAUCUAUCAUGUGUAAAAACUGAACAAAAACAAAGAAAAAAAUCCUGCAUAUUUUGUCUAUAACUGAAGUUUCUGUUCCUUUCUAUCAAUCUCUUAUGAUAAAGGAUAUCUCCUUCAUAACUGGGGUCAACAUCAUAAAUAUCAUAACUAAUAGAGAAUUAUGUGAAACCUUUUUGUUUUAUUUAAAAAAAAUACAAGAAUGUGAAACAAUUCUAUAUCUUCUUAAGAUUCUGGAAGUUAUGGCCAAUGUAUGAAGUUAUGAAGCAGACCCAGUAGUAUAAACACAGAGAAGGAAAACAAAAUAUAAAUAUAUGCAAAACAUUCUAUGAUAUUAGAAAAUCCAAGCAUUAACUGGAAAUUUAUUAGAACAAAUCAAAACAACUGAGUAAAUUGGCAGAACAAAAUUUAAUUACCCUCAAAUCAUAAGUUUUCUUAAAUAUCGUUGAGGCUAGAUAAUGUUUCAAGAUUAUGAUUUAUGUUUCUUCUUUAUCUACCCCCUGACCAUCCACAAUUUAAGUAAAUCUGAGUUCUGCAUUUCAUUUCCUCAGGGGAGCAUUGACUGAACAGGAAGCAAAGACUUUUUUGUCCAAAGACUUUUGCAUAAUACUUAGGAGAACUUGGAGGG